GGAGAGAGAAAGAAAGAAGGAGGGAAAAAAAGAAAAAGAGUUGACUCCUACUAAUCCAAUCCCUGGCACAGGCAGGCUCCCCCACACCUUCGUGCUCUCGCCUCUGUGAGGAAUACUGGCUCACCAAGCCAGCUCACAAGUUGUGUUUCUGUUCUGUCUCCAGCUCCUCUGUGUGUCAGUUGCAUUUAUGAUUAGGACCAAGCAAUCCAACACAUAGUGAUUCUCUAAUGUGUCAUGUCUGCUAGCUUUCUGUUUCUAAUAGCCUGGUAUCUUCAUAAUGGCAGAAAUCCUGUGCCACAGUGCCUGGUAGUACUGUGUGAGCAAUAAGUGCUCAGUUGGUCCACAACUUUUGAAAAGUUUCACUUUACUUAUGUUGUUCCCCAUUCACCCAGUUCCCCUCUUUAUUUUUAUUUUAUUUUUUAAAGGGAUUUAUCUACUUAUUUUAGAGAGAGAGAGAGAGAGAGCUUAUGUGUGCACACAUGCACUUGUGUAAGUGGGGUUAGGGAAGCACAGAGAGAGAGAGAGAGAGAGAAUCUCAAGCAGAUUCCCCACUGAGCACAGAGCCCUACACAGAAGGGGGUGGAUCCCAGGACCCUGAGCUCAUGACCUGAGCCGAAACCAAGAAUCAGAUGCUCAACUGACUGAGGCACCGAGGCACCCUCCCAGUUACUCUCUUUAGAGACGCUACCUUUUUUUGUUGUCGUUAUCCAUCUACUGCCAAAAGAAGUCCUUCUUGCCACUUUUUUGGAGAGGUGAUUUACUAAGGGUGCUGUACAAAGUUCUGCUGGAAACAAAUUUUACUUUGGAAAGAUUCUGUAUGGUUCAUCAAAACCACUGUUUCCUUCUCUAAUUCAGGAGAAUCUCUUUUGGAGAACAUCAGAACAGAUGGGAUGCGAGCAGAUGAAAUACAAGAUGGAGGCAAAUGCUGUUAUUUCAAAAUGGAACUUUUUAUAAGGUUUUUGCAUUAAGUUUGGUACAGUUUGCAUUAGUCAUUAAAGCAUUAUGAAGUUAUUUGGAUUAUACAUGUUUGGAAAAUGAAAAACAAAUGAAAUGAUUAUUUUUCUGUUUAGUUCUGAACUGCCUCAAUGGCCUGUCUUUACAGAGAUAUUUUAUAAAACAGCUUGAGUCAACAUAGAACAAAGAAUUUGAGCAUGCACAACAAAUCCUUGGAAAGAGUUCUGUCAGAGCUUUCAUCUGACUACCAACCUGAAAUGCUGAUCACCAGCCAGAAAAUCUCUCCACAUUGUCUCUCUUCAAGAGGUGUUAAAUUGCAGCGCAGUCAGGAUGAAAAAAAAAAAGUCAGAUUUUAAUAAUAUCCAGUCUUAGAUGUCAUCAGCAAGAAGACAUUUCCUGGAAAAAACUAUGUUAUUACAGUAUUAUUAUUUGUAAUGAUUUGCUUGAUAUGAUCAACAAAGAAAAAGUAAAUGAUCCAAAUGGGACUUCUGGCAGGGAACUGAAUUCUCAUUAAAAGAAGUAUUAGUGGGCCAAACACAUUUGAGUAAACACUGAAGAUGAACUUGAUUUAGAAAGGAGGAGCUGUUUGUGGAGACCACAAGAAUUUGUAAGGCCAAGGAAUUCCGGUUUCACCCACCAAGGGAGAAUAAAACCAGGCUGACCUUUGCCAAAUCUCUUGGCAGCCUUAGCCAAGAUUUAUAUUUAAGGAAUACUUAAAAGUCAAAAUAACAUAGUUUACAUGAUGUCAUGUGCUUUAUCAUUGCCAUCGUUUAGAUACUCAGACAAUGGCAUAAACUUUGGAGCUCUGGCAUCUCAGAAAAAUACCAGGAAGCGUUGGGGAUGGGGGUGGGGGUGGGGGGGAGAAGACCUCAGAUUCAUUGCUAUGAGGUCAUCAGCUUGAAAGGUAACCAAUAAAUCAGAGGCGACUGGCUGUGAAAAUGUUGCCAGCUCAGUUUGCCAGUGAGAAAAAUGCAAUACAAAAAUGUUAACCAUGCCAUUGAUGGGGUAGUUAUGAAAGAGACUAGAGAGGGUUCAACCAAACACAUUCAUUUCUACAUUUUGGACAGUUGUUUUUUAAAAAUAUAUAAGAUGGGGGCUUUUAGGUGGCUCAAUCGGUUGGGCCUCUGACUCUUGAUUUUUGGCUCAGGUCAUGAUCUCAGGGUUGUGAGACUGAGCCCUGUGUUGGGCUCUGCACUCAGUGGGGAGUCUGCUUGGGAUUCUCUUCUUCUCCCUCUGCCCCUCUCUGCCUUGUGUGCUCUCUCUCUCAAAUAAAUAAAUGAAUGAAUGAAUAAAUAAAUAAAUAAAUCUUUUUAAAAAUAAAAAUAUAUAAGAUGAAAAAACAAGGAAAAUUUGAGUUAGGUAAAUGUCUGGAGAUAGAUCCCUGCCAGUUCCUGCCAUAAUAUAUGCCAAUCUUAGUUUCUAAAAAUCCUUGCAUAAAUGUAACAUUUUCAAUUCCCAGAUGUUCAGUGAUCUCAUUCAAGUAAUAUUUGAUCCAAAUCACAAAUGGAAGACAUUAAACAAUUUAGAAUUACUUGUGAUAGGGUAUGAGCAAUAUUAUUAUUAAAUAACUAUGAAAGUACUGAAAUAUAACUUGACUGUUAAUUGUUCUAAUAAGAAGUUAUUUUUUAAUGGAUAAAAGUAAGAUAUAUUUUUUCCUGCCCUAAUUUUAAAUAUAAGGAUAAAUUAUGCUGCUGCUUAUCUUCCAGGUUUUAUGCUAGGAGAUGAGUCAAACUUGAAUAAUACUCCAUUCAUCUGCAGAAAAGCAGUAGGUUCACUCAGAGGCUUGCUCCAGUGAUUAAACUUUAUGCAACAGUGCCUCCAAAUCAGUUGAGGAGAUGGAUUCAAAAGUCAUUCUUAUAUAGGGAAUAUGGUAUGGAUUUGCAAAUUAGAUCCAUAGGCUGGUGGGGGUACAGAGGGUGUGAGAUACAAAGAAACUUAGGACCACUUUUUCAGUGUCUUUAAAGUUUAUGAUUGAUGGAUUACAGUGGAUUACCAGAAGGUGGGCUUCUCUAUACUUCUGCGCAAAUUUCUUUUUAGGGCAGUCCAAGACACUCAGAAAAUUAGACUGUUUUACAGAUGUAAACCUCCUUCCUCUCUCUUUCCCACUCCUCCCUCCCAGUUCAUAUUCCCUUUAUGCCCUGUACAGAAUGGAGUUCCGGGUGGAUGCCAAAUUUGAGUAUCUUUCUCAUCCCUUAGAGCAAAACACUCUGCACCUGGUCCCAUUUUAAACAAUACCUUGCACCUAGUCCAGAUCCUUUGACUAAUAUUUGUUGAAUUGGAAUAUAAAUUACCAAGGGGAUCUAGACCUUUGAGGCCUACUGACCCAUUUCAUUUAUUAAUGCUAUUUGCAGAGUAUUUUGGCUCUGGUACUGUUAGAUGAAGACCAGCUGGCCCAGGUGAGGGUAAUUAUGGUUGCAGUCCAAACCUGGAGCUACCAGAAACCCAUAGGGCAACAUGGAAAGAGAAGUUUGGGAGUUCAUCCCUCUUGAGUGGUUGUUUCACUUUUGAAGGGGAACAAUGUACUCUUUCUACAGAUGGAAAAAUAGUUCUGAAUUUCAGAAUUCACUUGGGUAGUUUUUUAACACCUGUAUUAGGAACUCAAAACUUUCCACAUUCUUCUGCAUUUUCUUCACCUCAUAUAACACAUGGUCUUCCCUCGGGGGCUUUCCUCUUCUCACUAUGCUAAACUCAAAGCUCAUUUGUCACCUUUGUCACAUACCAUCUUGGGAGGGUUUCCCUUUUCGGGGUUGGGACUCUGCCUGGAAGAGGACAGGUAGAUGUCCUCUUAGAAACUUCUGUUACCAUAUUUCAUUGAUUCUUAGGCACACAUUGUUUUCAUAUUUGUAUCUCUGAAACAGAUGUGUGUUUCAAUCUGUGGUAUUUUAUAUUCAACAAAAUACAGCAUAACAGCCAACACUUUCUGGUAACAGCAAUAACACUAUGUCUUUGGCAGUUCCUAAAAUUACUUUGGGAUCUAUAGUUAUGGUACUCUAAAAUGCCUCUCCAGGAUUAUCUGUGUCUUGUAUAUUCAGAGCCCUGUGAAUCACUGUAUGACUUUUGAUCCUUUUAAGGUUCUUUGACUUAGAUUAGGAGAGUAUAGUUGCUAAAUCAAUAAAGUGCUGUUUUUUGUUUUGUUUUGUUUUUGUUUUAAAAGGCAAGCUACUCAUUCUUUGCCUAUUUUUAAAAAAGAUUUUAUUUAUUUAUUUGACACAGAGAGAGUAUGAGCAGUGGGAGCAUCCCACAGAGGGAGAAGCAGACUCCCCACUGAGCAGGGAGCCUGAUGCGGGACUCAAUCCUGCAACUCCAGGAUCAUGACCUGAGCUGAAGGCAGUGCCUUAACCAACCAAGCCAUGCAGGCACCCCAUUCUUUGCCUAUUAGAGCCACCACACAAAAUAAUUAUAGCUAAUAUUUAUUUAGUGUUGACUAUGCUGCAGGCGCUGUUCUAAGAACUGGAAAUGUGUUAAAUUACUUAAUCUGCAUAACGACCGAAUGAGGAAGGUAGUCUAUUUAGCAGAUGAUGAUGUUGAAGCUCAGAGAGUUUAUUAACUAGCCUUAAUAUGAAGUAUUGGAACAGGGACUUGAACCCAAGCAGCCUGGCUCCAAGGUCCAUGCUCUUAUCAUUCAUCACUGCCACAGAAAGAUUUAUGGUAAUGUAAUUGACAAGCAGAUAGGCUGCAAGGAGUCCAUCUUCAAGCCAAUCCCACUGAGAUUACUGCUGAGAAUAUUGUUAUUAUAUGAGUCAAUUUAUGUCCUGAGAUCUGAACUUCAGGACUAUAAGAAAAGCUCAGCAGAUUUUAGUGUCCACCUGAAAAACACACCAUGAUGACUGACACCCAGAGACAGACACCUGGGUCAGGGUGUGGACGACCAGAAUAUAGCAGCUGCCUUCAUUUUAACUUCUUUUAUGCUUGAGUGUUCUUGUCAACUACCACUCUUCUGUAAUUGCCUUAACAAUCCAACUCUGUUACUCAGUUUUCUUCAGGUUUGUCUGAAAGUAGGUGCUGGUUGUUUUUGCAGGUCAAAUCCAACCUCAAAGGGCGAAGAUUUUUUCACCACUGAAAAAUUUCAAAAGAAUAUACUGUAUUCUGUGAAGGUAAUUCUAAAAGAAGCUCUCUUGAAUUGUUUAAACAACAACAACCUCACUGGAAAAAAUAUAUAUUCUCUUGGACUGACCAUUUAAAUGUAGACAUGCUCUUCAGCUGUUUGAGUCAUGGAUAAUUGUUUUAAAAUACAAUUUGUUUUGUUUAGAGCUCAUAGAGCACUUAAAGCAGGAUUAACCUCUAUAUAUUGCAGACAUGAUUAAGCUACAUUUCUAUCAUUUGCUUGAAUUCUUCCCAGAAAGUGAUAUAGUAUAGUUUUGGUCUUCAGCAUUAUGACUCUGAAGCCACCGUUCGUAAGGAUAUAGUUUGUUUUUAUAGCUUAAAAUUCUGUUUGCAUGUAAUUAUUCUGGAUCAAGAUUGUGCUAUAAAACAGAUUCUCCUGAACAAAGGGAAAUUCCAACUUACCCUAUGAAUUACAAAUAGAUUCUAUUUGAAUAACUGACCAGUAUGCCAGUUUUUUCUCUUUAUUUCUUGUUUCACUUUAUUAAUCUAUUAAUCUGUCAGCUAAGAUUUCAAAAAGCUCCAUUAAAACAUUAAUACAUUUUUGGGUGUAUUUUUAUUAUUAUUUCAUAGAGCUGUUAGUCCUGCCUUCCAGGUGCAUUAAGAGGUACAAAGGAUUCUUUUGGGACCCACUAGCUCCACCCUUUCCUCUGGGCCAUGGGACAGGAUAAUGGAGUCAAGAUCACAAGGGAAUUUGUAACGGCUGGUUGAACAUUGGAGUGUGGCCCAAACUCCCUUUUUCUAUUCCCCCAAAACUGUAUAGUUACCCCUAUUUGUUAAGCAGGUCUUCUGGGAUCCAAACAAAAAAUUACAUAAAAGCCUCAAGAACAUUUUUAUAACCAUUCGGUUGUCAAAUUCAUUCUUGAAUUGGGCAUUAUUUCCAAUCAAGUAAAUACUGGCAAAAAAUUCUUCAGUUGUCAACUGUGUAUUAAGCACUCACCACAGACUCUGCACUGGUCGUGGAGCCUGCUCAAGAUUCUCUUUCUCUCUCCUGUCCCCCACCCCUCCCGCACAGGCAUACUCUCUCUCUCAAAAACAACAAAACCCCACCACAUAUGCCACACAUAAUAAUUGCAUUUUAUUCUGAUUUCUGUGAUUCAGAGCAUUGGAUCUUGCUGUUAAUCUGAACAACAUUUUGGAUUUCAUCAUAUCUGAAUAUGGGGAGUGGUGAGCUGGUUGUUUCUUUGUAAUAAUUUGUAAGUUUUUAAAAGAUGUAGGUCUCAGUCAACUAAAAACUGUGUGAAAUUUAUUUGAAAUCAUUAUAUACAUUAUGUGUUUGUAAUUAUGUUAAUAUUCCUUAUUAGAGUCUCCCAAAGCACUGUUUUAGACCCGAAACGAGAAUGAUUUACUUACCUAAUGCAAAUAACUUACUGAGAGAGAAACCUGUAAGGAAGUAAGAAAAUGGCAAGAAAAUCUGGCAAAGACAUGGCUUUCAGUGGAGCCCCAGGGUAGCUCUGGAGUGUGAAUGGUACUCUAGGAUUAUCUCACCUUGCAGCAAGGGGACUAUGCUUUUUCAGCUCAGCCAGUGGCUGCGCCCUGCCCUGUGGGGAGUGGGAGGAGGCACUUACCCCCUUAGGCAAUUCUUGGUGAGGACAGUUCUCCAGAGAAGGGGACAACUGUGAGCCAGCAGCAGCCAGCACUCACUUACUGGGGGCACCUGCCUUGUAAAUGGACGGGACAAGGCACCAACGCUGUCCGCUACAGGCUUCCAAGGAAGCUCUAUAGGGAGCAAUCAGCAGUAAUCUCAAAAAAAAAAAAAAAAAAAGAGAAACUUUGAUUUGGCUGCCCUUUGAGAUGUGGAAUUAUUUUUCAGUUUACCCAAUCCUUAAUUGACUAUUGAUCAGAGAAAGUGAAUCUGCACAGUUAUAUCUAUAAAUCAAAAGAAAAGGGGGAAUUGAAUAGACUUAUCAUCAGACUUUUGAGAACUUGAAGUUUUUUGCUAAUUUAGUAAAUCUGAGCUCAAACUGUCCCUCCAUCUCUAAACUAUUUUGGUUUUCGGGAAGUAAAGACUAUUUGGGAAUGAAAAUAGCAACAGUAACUGACAUUCAUUUUAUUAAAAACUAAAAGCCAUGCAUUAAAAAAAGAAUUAUUUUCUUUAUUUUAUAAAAGGGAGAAACAACUACAUGCUCAUUGGUACAAUUGGAAACAUGAGAGGUAUUUAGAGAAUGAGACAGUCAUUUCACCUCUGCCCAUUGCUGAACCCAGCCUUCUGAGGUUUCCAGUGUGAAAGUUUUAGUAUUAUUCUACUCAUUUAACUGUGUGAAUAUAAACCAGAAAACAUGUAGCACACUUAGGGCUUUCUUUUCUGUUUUAUAAUAAAAGGGCAUCCUUUUUCUAAAAGGUAGAUAUAUGACAUAAUCUGGCCCUGGUUCAGUGAGCAGACUUUGUGCUUCACUUUGCUUUGGAACGAUAAAAAGUUGAAUUCCCUGCUUAGGGGCCCAGGGGUAAGGGUUACAGGAUAUCUCGUCAAGAAGGAAAUGUGGCCUUUGGACAAGGUAAGAGGACAAAAAUAGCUGCAUUGGGAGGUUGAUGCCCUUGACCAUAAGGUCAGGCUUUAGAGUUUUGAACUCUUCAAGAAUAUUUUGAAGUCAUUUUGGCAGAGAGCUAAAGUUUUUAAUUUUUAUGUUUUGGACUAGAUCUUUGGAAAGCUAUCUGUUGUUUUUCCUUAUGACUCUAUGCAGAGGCAGCAUACAUGUUUUCCUUCUUGAAAACCAGCUGGUGUUUUACUUUAGUAGACAUUACCCCAGAUAGCAGAAUGAAGGAACUGUUUAGAACUGAAAGGGGGCCAGGCAGACAUGGCAUGUCUUCUCCAGGCCAUCCGGCAUAGGGCACUUGUCCUCAUCCACACAGCAGGCUCUGGUAGGUGUUGAUUUUCUCAAUGGCUGGUCCAAACUUCUGGCACUCCACUGGGCCCCACUUAUGUUUAGUCCUAUUUUACUGAUGAGGAAAUCGAGGCUCAGAGAGUUCUAUAAAUCGCCCAAGGUCAGAGUGUGGUAGAGUCCUAUGAGUCUAGGUUUGUUUAGCUCCAAAUACCAUAUUUUCCAUUGCAUCACACUGACUCUCACAAUCCUGUGCCAGGACUUUACCAGCUAGUGAGAAUUGUAGGUCUCUAUCCCACAUGAAGAAACUCUAACCAGACAGAGUGACUGAGAGCAAAAUAAGGUGAAGAAAUAUUGAAGUGGGAAUGGUGUAAAGGGGUAGGAUUACAAGUCCAAGCCAACUAGGAUUUUGGGGCAGCUGUGUGUUCUUAGAUAAGUCACCUAACCUAAUUAGCCUCAGUACCCCCCCAUUUGUUAAUUAAGGCUGUGAUCAAUAGAAAUAGAAGUUCUAGUACUAAUUUU